CCUACGGGAGGCAGCAGUGAGGAAUAUUGGUCAAUGGGCGCGAGACUGAACCAGCCAAGUAGCGUGAAGGAUGACUGCCCUAUGGGUUGUAAACUUCUUUUAUACAGGAAUAAAACGAGGCACGUGUGCCUUUUUGCAUGUACUUUAUGAAUAAGGAUCGGCUAACUCCGUGCCAGCAGCCGCGGUAAUACGGAGGAUCCGAGCGUUAUCCGGAUUUAUUGGGUUUAAAGGGAGCGUAGAUGGGUUGUUAAGUCAGUUGUGAAAGUGUGCGGCUCAACCGUAAAAUUGCAAUUGAUACUGGCAGUCUUGAGUACAGUUGAGGUAGGCGGAAUUCGUGGUGUAGCGGUGAAAUGCUUAGAUAUCACGAAGAACCCCGAUUGCGAAGGCAGCUUACUAAACUGUGACUGACAUUGAUGCUCGAAAGUGUGGGUAUCGAACAGGAUUAGAUACCCCUGUAGUC
rnacentral:rRNA from 1 species